GGAAGUGACAGAAGCUUCCGGCGGACGCCAGGGGACGGUGAGCGAGAAGGGACAAGUGCGGCCCGGAGGCGAUCUGUGCGCGAGGAGGCGCUGUGAAGACUGAGGCACAGCCCCUCCGAGGAAAGCCGAGAUUGUACGUUUCCUUGCCGGCUGAGCCGCGGCUCGUCCCCCGGAGCGACACAAAGAAGAAGUGGCCUUGCAUCCUGCUCCGCCUCCCGAGCCGGGUCCUUGGUCCCCGGAAGCCCUGGGCUGCCCCACUGGAGUUACCUUCUGUGCGUUCUCUCCUAAACCUACACGUUAUUCACGACUUUGUUCAUGACUAUGGAAAACAAAACAAAAACAAAAACCAAACCAAAGUUCCCUCGCCUGGCGAUGGUGCAAGCCUGUCUACCUGCUGGAGGAUGGGAAGACCAAACCAAGAAUUAAACAACCACUCUAGUCUGAACUCAGCACCACUGCAGAGAAUCUGCUGGUCCCUAUACAACCAUCCUGUGGGAAGUAGAUUACCCACUUACCGAGCUCCACCCACCGUGUAAGGUGCUCUCUCCCCACACCUGUGCUUCUGGGCUACCUACUGCAUUAACACAAACCACAGCAAAAGGAAAAUAAAACAAUUUAGCAAAAAUCUAAACAUUCAACUGGAGUCGGUUCUGUGACAUCUGCUGGGCAUUUCCUUUGUCCUUUGAAUAGGUUGGAAUGUGCACACCUGGCUCGACCAAAAGAGGCACAGCUUAGGGGCGGCUUGGACCCAGCUCAAGUCUGGACUUGGCAGCUUUCCUGAGCCUGCCUAGGAAAGCAGGCUGGAGUGCAGGUGUCCCAGGGCUCUCUGGAGGAGCAGCAGCAACACCAUGCCUGGCUCUGGUGCCUUGGUCUCCUCGGAGAGGACGCUUGAAGGAAUGGCACUCAGCAGAGUACAGGCCCCGUAACAGUGCAGCGCAGCGACAUCCGCUGAGGACUGGACAGAAUGGUCCUGAUGCUUGGCAGUGAUCCGUACUUGGAUAACCCUCUGCAUGAAAGGGCAGUGAGCCAGGAACCUCAAGCCACCCGGGAGCAGGUGCCUACUUGGCGUUUUCUGAGACGAAAGGCAGCGGAGUGUGUAGCAAAGGUGGCGCUGGCUCUUGCUGCUUCUGAAGCUCCAUCUCGGCAGCCCUCUGCAGCGCCACCUCCACCAGCAACUGGAAGCUGCUGAAGUCAUCCUUGUCCUGCUCUGGGGGUGUGGGUGGUGGCGUAUUGAAGAGUCCACCCGUGGGGCUUCCAGCCUCUGCCCUAGUCAGCAGGGGUCACUGUAAAGCUCUGGCUGUUCUGGAACUCACUAUGUAGACCAAGGUGGCCUCAAAUGCUUCUUCUCCCUGAUUCCCAGGAUUAAAGCCACCAUGCUUGGGCUGGAGAGAUGGCUCACUGAUGUAAGAGCACUGAUUGCUCUUCCAGAGGUCCUGAGUUCAAAUCCCAGCAACCACGUGGUGGCUCACAACCAUCUAUAAAAAGGAUCUGAUGCCCUCUUCUGGUGUCUGAAGACAGCUACAGUGUACUCAUAUAAAUAAAAUAAAACUUAAAAAAUAAAAAAGCCA
rnacentral:lncRNA from 1 species